UAGGGAAUCUUCCACAAUGGACGCAAGUCUGAUGGAGCAACGCCGCGUGAGUGAAGAAGGUUUUCGGACCGUAAAGCUCUGUUGUUGGUGAAGAAGGAUAGAGGUAGUAACUGGCCUUUAUUUGACGGUAAUCAACCAGAAAGUCACGGCUAACUACGUGCCAGCAGCCGCGGUAAUCGUAGGUGGCAAGCGUUGUCCGGAUUUAUUGGGCGUAAAGCGAGCGCAGGCGGAAGAAUAAGUCUGAUGUGAAAGCCCUCGGCUUAACCGAGGAAUUGCAUCGGAAACUGUUUUCUUGAGUGCAGAAGAGGAGAGUAGAACUCCAUGUGUAGCGGUGGAAUGCGUAGAUAUAUGGAAGAAUACCAGUGGCGAAGGCGGCUCUCUGGUCUGCAACUGACGCUGAGGCUCGAAAGCAUGGGUAGCGAACAGGAUUAGAUACCCUGGUAGUCCAUGCCGUAAACGAUGAGUGCUAAGUGUUGGGAGGCUUCCGCCUCUCAGUGCUGCAGCUAACGCAUUAAGCACUCCGCCUG
rnacentral:rRNA from 1 species